GCUGGGCGUGGUGGCACAUGCCUGUAAUCCCAGCGACUCGGGAGGCUAAGGCGGGAGGACUGCAGGUUUAAGGCCAGCCUCAACAGUUUAGCAAGGCUCUAAGCAAAGUAGUGAAAUCCUGUCUCUC
rnacentral:sRNA from 1 species